ACCUAAUAGAUACCCUGGUAGUCCACGCCCUAAACGAUGCGAACUGGAUGUUGGGUACAUUACGGUACUCAGUGUCGAAAGCUAAACGCGUUAAGUUCGCCGCCUGGGGAGUACGGUCGCAAGACUGAAACUCAAAGGAAUUGACGGGGGUCCCGCACAAGCGGUGGAGUAUGUGGUUUAAUUCGAUGCAACGCGAAGAACCUUACCUGGCCUUGACAUCUGUCGAAUCCUGCAGAGAUGCGGGAGUGCCGCAAGGAACGACAAGACAGGUGCUGCAUGGCUGUCGUCAGCUCGUGUCGUGAGAUGUUGGGUUAAACGU
rnacentral:rRNA from 1 species